CUUUGGUUGAACAGUUCAUGAGUUAAUGCACGGACAACAUUUGAUUGCCGCCUUUCAAGAACCAUAACUCCUGAACAGUAAAAGUCAAAAUCGCCAUUAUUGAACUUGACCUUCGUAUAGUUGUCAGUAAUAACAUAUUAAAAUUUUAAAAGCUUUGGUUGAACGGUUCAUGAGUUAAUGCACGGACAACAUUUGAUUGCCG
rnacentral:lncRNA from 1 species